UACGUAGGUGGCAAGCGUUAUCCGGAUUUACCGGGUGUAAAGGGCGUGUAGGCGGGAAAGCAAGUCAGAUGUGAAAACCAUGGGCUCAACCUGUGGCCUGCAUUUGAAACUGUUUUUCUUGAGUACUGGAGAGGCAGACGGAAUUCCUAGUGUAGCGGUGAAAUGCGUAGAUAUUAGGAGGAACACCAGUGGCGAAGGCGGUCUGCUGGACAGCAACUGACGCUGAGGCGCGAAAGCGUGGGGAGCAAACAGG
rnacentral:rRNA from 1 species